rfam:Helicobacter canis NCTC 12740 genomic scaffold addTr-supercont-complete, whole genome shotgun sequence.
GCGGAAGUGGCGAAACUGGCAGACGCACCAGACUUAGGAUCUGGCGCCGCAAGGCAUGGAGGUUCAAGUCCUCUCUUCCGCA